CCGUAUGGCGACCGGCGCACGGGUGAGUAACACGUAUCCAACCUGCCGAUAACUCGGGGAUAGCCUUUCGAAAGAAAGAUUAAUAUCCGAUAGGAUAUCAAGGUCGCAUGAUCUUGAUAUUAAAGAAUUUCGGUUAUCGAUGGGGAUGCGUUCCAUUAGUUAGUUGGCGGGGUAACGGCCCACCAAGACGACGAUGGAUAGGGGUUCUGAGAGGAAGGUCCCCCACAUUGGAACUGAGACACGGUCCAAACUCCUACGGGAGGCAGCAG
rnacentral:rRNA from 1 species